UGAGCCCUACGGGAGGCAGCAGUGGGGAAUAUUGGGCAAUGGGCGCAAGCCUGACCCAGCAAUGCCGCGUGAAGGAAGAAGGCCCUCGGGUUGUAAACUUCUUUUAUCAGGGACGAAGGAUGUGACGGUACCUGAUGAAUAAGCUCCGGCUAACUACGUGCCAGCAGCCGCGGUAAUACGUAGGGAGCAAGCGUUAUCCGGAUUUCCUGGGUGUAAAGGGCGCGUAGGCGGGAUGGCAAGUCAGAUGUGAAAUCCGGGGGCUCAACCCCUGAACUGCAUUUUAAAC
rnacentral:rRNA from 1 species